AGUGAACGCUGGCGGUAGGCCUAACACAUGCAAGUCGAACGGCAGCACAGGAGAGCCUGCUCUCUGGGUGGCGAGUGGCGGACGGGUGAGGAAUACAUCGGAAUCUACUCUGUCGUGGGGGAUAACGUAGGGAAACUGACGCUAAUACCGCAUACGACCUACGGGUGAAAGCAGGGGACCUUCGGGCCUUGCGCGAUUGAAUGAGCCGAUGUCGGAUUAGCUAGUUGGCGGGGUAAAGGCCCACCAAGGCGACGAUCCGUAGCUGGUCUGAGAGGAUGAUCAGCCACACUGGAACUGAGACACGGUCCAGACUCCUACGGGAGGCAGCAGUGGGGAAUAUUGGACAAUGGGCGCAAGCCUGAUCCAGCCAUACCGCGUAGGUGAAGAAGGCCUUCGGGUUGUAAAGCCCUUUUGUUGGGAAAGAAAUCCAGCUGGCUAAUACCCGGUUGGGAUGACGGUACCCAAAGAAUAAGCACCGGCUAACUUCGUGCCAGCCGCCGCGGUAA
rnacentral:rRNA from 1 species